rnacentral:tRNA from 1 species
AGAGGUAUAGCUCAGGGGUAGAGCACAUUCCCAGCAUGUGGGAGGUCCUGGGUUCAAUCCCCAGUAUCUCUG